AACUGUCAACUAACUGCCAUCCACAGAGCAGGCAAGCCUAGCUCAAGAAGCAAAACAUCCAGGAACCAUUUUUGGGAACAGCAAUGCUUUCAAAUGGUUCCAUUCUAGUUUCCACUGUGUGAAGGUCUCAAUGAAUUUUUUUAAUCCUGCAUAAAUACACUAAAAUUCAUUGAAUGAAAUGUCCAAACAUUAGAGCUGUCUACAAAAAGGAGUUGGUUGAGUAUGUGUCAUUCCCAUGACAUGCUGCUAGAAAAUAAGGGCAGGAGGAAAGAACCUUUGGAGAUAGUGAGAUGAUAGAAAAACACAACUGAGCACCACCUAAUUCCAGCUUCAAAAGUGAAUGAAAUAUAUUUUCAAUGGAGAGUAAAUGAUUUCUUACUGCCCAGUGUAGUACAAUGCAAUGUUUAUAAAAUUACAAUGCAAAGAAUUCUGAAACACUUCGUGUCUGUUUGUUUUUAAAUGACCCUUACAUUGUCUGUUAAUAGGCAUUAAAAUAAUUUUAGAAG